CUGCAGAGGCCUCCGGCGCAAUGUAAGUCGUUCUUGUCUAAACCUGUGGACUGUAACUCCUUUAAGUGUAAACAUUUUGUUCCUUCACCUCCAUCACCUUCACCAUUUCCUUCACCUACAGCACCGGUAACACCUUCUCCAUCACCUUCUACGCCUUCACCAUUUCCUUCACCUACAACACCGGUAACACCACCUUCACCCUCACAUUCCCCUCCAUCACCUUCUACGCCUUCACCUACAACACCGGUUACACCUUCUCCCUCACAUUCACCUCCAUCACCUGCUACACCUUCACCAUUUCCUUCACCUACAACACCGGUAACACCUUCACCCUCACAUUCCCCUCCAUCACCUGCUACACCUUCACCAUUUCCUUCACCUACAACACCGGUAACACCUUCACCCUCACAUUCCCCUCCGUCACCUGCUACACCUACAACACCGGUAACACCUUCACCUUCACAUUCCCCUCCGUCACCUGCUACACCUUCACCAUUUCCUUCACCUACAACACCGGUAACACCUUCACCUUCACAUUCCCCUCCGUCACCUGCUACACCUUCACCAUUUCCUUCACCUACAACUCCUGUAACACCUUCACCUCCAUCGCCUUCUACUCCUUCACCCUUUCCUUCAC
rnacentral:lncRNA from 1 species